UUUUACCCAUUGGAUUUCACUCAAAAGUCACCAAAUGACUCUUCCCAGCAUGUUAUGGUGUUCCCCAAGUUUUGGACUCAAUCCGAUAUCGAUUGGUCCAUGAAUGACAGGACCUGCCCCGAAAUUUCCCAGAAACCGAAGCGGAACCUGUCUUUGAUCCGACAUCAUCCCGAUGCCAGGCCCACUUACUAAGAAACCGAGACUUUCUAGCAAAAUUUUGGCACAGUCUCUCCUAUAAUUUAAGCAAACCCAACAAAAUAAUUCAACCUGCAAUAUACAUAAAAUAAAAAUCCCAACUAGCAGCAUGCUUUCAUAAUUCAACAAGUCAUACUGAAAUGGCCUCCGGCCUCACAAGUAAAAUCUACCAUGGGCGAUAACAAAGCAUCUACUGAAUUUAGAUUACAAGAACAGUUGAGUAGAAGAAAUUACUCAAAUCCUAACUAGGAAGAUUCACAGUGCGAGCCUAGUACACCACUUGCACGCUUCCUGAAGCGACUACUGGCUAGGGGGUGCAAAACAGAAAACAUGUGAGUGGACAAAAACCAGAUUGCAGUUAAAAACAAUAUAGUAACCCCACCGUGUAAAAAUAAUGCUCAAGUCAUGCAGGUUCACAAUUCAAUAUAUAAUUACUCAAAACAUGAUUCAGUUAAAACUCUUCAAAAC
rnacentral:lncRNA from 1 species